GUUCAAGGGAAGCCUCGGAAGAUUUUCCAGAGUCUAGGGAAGUAUAGAAUGGUGGGGGGCACUCCGGGAUAAAGGAAAGCGGCAACAGGAGAGGAGCCCUCAAGUUCAGGGCAAGAGCCAGAAAGCGGCUGGCAAAGCCAAGGCCGCAGAGCUCAGAAAGGAGGAGGGUCUUUGGGUAACGGUAUGUUGGGUAAAAGAGACGCUCCGCCUGCCGCCUGCAGAUGACCUUAAAACCUGGGUACAAAGAGGAAACCCCGUCCUCAAAGCAUUCAAGAGCUGGCGAGACGCCGAGGACCUCCUCCGGGACAGGGCGCAGGGACGCAGCAGCACCACGCAGCCGUGCAAAGGACCCGAGCCCCGGGCAGCCUCACUGACGGAUCUCACACGUGAAGUGGAACAAGAGAGCCACACGCAAGAUGACCCGCGGGCUGCCUGUGAACUCCAUCUCGGACUCCUGCUGGGUGUCCUCUGCCAAAAAUCGCCCAUGGAGCCAGAGAGGACAGUGACUUGCCCACGGUGAUACAGCAAGUGCCAACCCCGCGAGACCUGGGUGUCGUCUACAAAGUGUACUAAACACACACGCGCACGCACACACACACCCUAAGUCUUUGCAAAUCAGACCAGAUCCUUCUAUCCACCUCGGAAGUCACACUAUGAACACUGGGCCCAGGCGGGGCCCGCGAGGGCCACGGGGCCUGAUAACCCGAGCCCCCUCCUGCCCCGCACCCCCCUCCCCACCCCGCCUUGGUGAACGCCUGCACUGGCCAGGCCCUUUCCCUACUUUUUCUCUGGUUCAAACAAGGAGCCUGCAGGGGAGGCAUUUUCAUCCCGACUUCCCAGGGAGGAAGCUGAGGCCCACAGGGAACGGUUGCCAGAGCUGCGGUGACGUGGGGCUCACUGGACGUGGCUGAAGGACUGUCCUAUAGGCCCAGGGAGCCAACCUGCGGUGGGAGAACCGGGGCUACGGUCUUUAAGGGGGUCGGGUAAGGUGCCACUCUGCCCUCGAUCUUGCCCCUUCCCCUGGGCCUGGGGCUGUUUGUCCUGGGCCCCGUGUCUCCCGGGGGAGGGCAGGUCUACACAUCACCCAGGCCCGUGUGAUCCCCUUCAAGCCAUGACGCGCUCUUAGGGUCCAUCCGGGCUGCUUUUCUGAGUCAGAGAUAGAGAGAUUGCCAACCUCCCACUGCGCACCCCCAUUUCCCUGCCCCAGGUCUGACCAGGCUUGUUUCCUGGCAUCGCUGUACCCCUACACCAGCCUGAGAGGGGCCUGAACCCAGCCAAUAAUAGUGUUUCCACUCCCAUCCCAGGAUUUCCUUUGCUUGGAGGGGCAUCUCCUGGUGGCAUUCCCCCUCCGACUGCUGCUGACCAGCUGGUCUGAUCUCUGUAGCCUCCUCCUACAGGCAGGCCUCCUGGUUCUCUGCUUCUUUGGGCUUUCUCUGUGCUCAAAGCACAGGCACCCUGUCUGGUAGGUGAAAGGUGGCUAACAACGCUGUGCGGCUCCUCUCAGGGAGAGCUGGCGUCGAAGCGCCCUCCCCUUGGACCCGGGCCAGUCUCAGAGAAUUGCAAGGGCACCGCGCACUGUGCACGGUGAGGUUCCGGGACUUCUCGCGGCUGCCGCCUCCCUCCUGGAACACUUGCUGUCCCCUAGGGAAGAAACCCUGCCACCCCGAGACCCCGGGGCUGCGAGGAACCCCAACUAAUGGUGGGGGAGGAGCCACACCCCCAGCCCGGGCUGCUCUGGCCCCCUGCCCUCCGGGUCCGGGUCCGGGUGGGUAGAGACCAGCCCGCCCCACUACGCCCCUGAUGCAAAGAACAGAGAUAGAGAAAACGGAAAAAGUGGUCACUUCGAGUCACGAUGUCCGGGGCAGUUUGCUGGUUUGCUACGCGGCAGUAGAUUAACGGAACAUUGUCCCUGCGCUCUGCAGCCCUUCAUGGCUCCCACGUGCCCUUGUGAUGAACUUCCAGCUCUGAACUUCAAGGCCAUCUGUUCUGGCAAAGUUAGACCCCUUCAGAAAUUGGCCAUGACCGCUCCGACCAUGGGCCGGCCACCCUGGGCCUGGGCCCCUCUCUAUCUCUGAAGCCUUGUUACCUCUGUCAGGAAGCCAUCCCCGAUCCCCUUGCUCCCAGCCCGGAGCUCCCCUUCCCACCAGGGACCACGGAUACGCUCUCCCUCCAGCUCCCAGGAGACCCCGACAGCAUGCAAGGGCCUCCCCUCCCCUCUGUAGACUCUAGUGGCCGUCCCAGGGUGGGGAAGAGGGCCAGGCGGGCACCCCUUGGACUGGCGACACUGCUCCGGCCAGAUUUGCCAUCUCCUGAUGGACGGAGUUCCUGCAGGUCCCCUCAGGAUGCCUGAGAGCCCACUCUCGGCCAAUCUAAGGUUUCCAAUACCUUCAAUGGGACUUAGCCUCAUCUCUUUAAAAUGAAAUGGAUACGCGCAGCCUGUGCAAUUGGUACUGCCUUCCCCAGGUCCUGAGAUCGAGCUCUGAGCAAGGGCCCAGUUCUAGGGCGCUGCCUCAAGGGGGCAGGGCGUGACGGGUCCGGGGAGGGGGAUUGUGCUAAACAUCUGCUGAAAGGGGGGGCCUUUCCCAGGGCUCAGGGCCCAUGCUGGCCAAGGAUCCCCUCACUCAUAGAUACGCCCAGGGUCACACACUAAAUCCAUGACCUCUCUGCCCUCGGCCACUGCCGACCCAGUGGGGCUCCCCUUCUGUUCCAUGGAACAGUGUGACAGCAGAAAUCUGUGGCCGUGAGACUAGACUCUUCCUUUCCUCAUUCUUUUUUGAACCUCAUCACCACUGGCAGGAGGACCAGGGAGGCCAGAGAGCCCCAUCGGCUGGAGGGGACGUGAGUGGGGCUGGCCCACUUAGGCGAUGCACGGCCAAGGGCGAGGGGCUGGGCUCCAGGCUGCACUUGGCAGGCUUGGCAGAGGGCAGGGUGCCCUGGGCGCCUGAGGGUGCUGUGGCUGGAGGAUCACACACCCACCACACUCUUGAGGCAGCCCGGGGCUCUGCUUCAGGAUCCAGGGCAGUCCAGAGCUACAGAAGGUCCUAGAGCCAGGGCCCUGCUCGCCCCAGAUCCCUGCUCCCGGUUCCCCUUGAAUGUCAGCUGAGUCUCCAAAUCACAAGCGACUCUGUGCAAAUUGCUGUUUAAAACAGGUUCCCGGAGGGGGAGGCAGUCGCUUCUUUGUUUAGCCCAAGGUUAUGGCAAAGAAACAAAAGGAGUGCAUUUUCUCUUCCUACUGUU